UACGAAGGGGGCUAGCGUUGUUCGGAUUUACUGGGGCGUAAAGCGCACGUAGGCGGAUCGAUCAGUCAGGGGUGAAAUCCCAGAGCUCAACUCUGGAACUGCCUUUGAUACUGUCGAUCUGGAGUAUGGAAGAGGUGAGUGGAAUUCCGAGUGUAGAGGUGAAAUUCGUAGAUAUUCGGAGGAACACCAGUGGCGAAGGCGGCUCACUGGUCCAUUACUGACGCUGAGGUGCGAAAGCGUGGGGAGCAAACAGG
rnacentral:rRNA from 1 species